GAAUCUCAAAAUACUUUGCUGAAAUAGAACCUUCGAUAUUUAGGGCAAGGUUUAAUGAUCUGUCUUCUUCUGAAGUGACUAAUUUUCAAGGAAAAAAUGCUGAGUCAUACUCACAAGCAUGCAUUAUUUUGUGACGGAUUUUUUUUUUUUUUUUUCUGAGCAUAAAGAAUUUCUUCUUAGAGAAAUAACUUGGAAGGAAACAGCCACCAGGGCCAACACAUCUACAAGUGGAUUGUCUACAAGGGGAACAGCUUAUCUUAAAUUUAUGCUGCCAUCAAAAAUGAAGGUAGAUAAAACCUUCUUACAUUGUCACCGAUGGGAGGAAAAGCACAAAUGAAUACUUACUGCUUUGUAUCUCUUCUUACAUAUCUUACGAGAAAAAGAUUUUCCUGGUCAAAGCAUCUUUGCUAAGAUUUAUCUCCGGAGGGACACUGUUGUUCAAUCAAAUCUUUGUAAGAUUUUACUGUGGUGUUCCAAAAAGAAGAAUUACUCAGUGUGAUAUGUUUUAUUGUUUUCUUUUGAAUAAUUCCAGGAAUAGGUCAUAAAAUGUUUUGGUCAGCAAGUGUUCCAGACUGAGUCUUGGAGAUUAAGUUGUCAAAUUAAAAGAGAGAGGUUACAGAAUCCUUGUCUGGGAUGGUUUAACUGUUACUGUGUCAAGCUGAGAAGUAGCUUUAUGUUGAUUUAUUUAUUUCAGAGAAUGAAACAUGAAAUAGAGACAGUUUUGCUUAUACUCAGCCUUCUUAUGUUAAAGUGAGAAGAUAUCCUUUUAUGGAAAAUUAAAAAGCAUUGAAUUAAUUCUUAAGACAUGAGGUAAAGAGCAACAAGGAGACUGUGAGGAGGAGUGGAUGGAGUCAUCUGAAUUCUAGUCCUGGCUCUGCCUUUGUGUCAUCGUCAGUCCCCACCAACCCCCAUGGAUUUUUCAUCAGUAAAUGCUGAAAGUGGACAUCGUGUGUGUUGAAAUGCCUGGACCUUGAACUCUAAGGGCAUUUAAGACCUCCUCUCUCCCCUUCGUGGGGCCCAUGUUCCUAGUGCGCAGGACACCAGGUCUCCGCUUGUGUCUCAGCUCCCCUGACCUCCCAGAUUCUGGC
ensembl:lncRNA